rnacentral:rRNA from 1 species
UACGAAGGAUCCAAGCGUUAUCCGGAAUCAUUGGGUUUAAAGGGUCCGUAGGCGGUUUGGUAAGUCAGUGGUGAAAGCCCAUCGCUCAACGGUGGAACGGCCAUUGAUACUGCCAGACUUGAAUUAUUAGGAAGUAACUAGAAUAUGUAGUGUAGCGGUGAAAUGCUUAGAGAUUACAUGGAAUACCAAUUGCGAAGGCAGGUUACUACUAAUGGAUUGACGCUGAUGGACGAAAGCGUGGGUAGCGAACAGG